UACUAGAGUAGCACUCGCAUAUCAAUAAGCGGAGGAAAAGAAACUAACAAGGAUUCCCCUAGUAACGGCGAGUGAAGCGGGAAGAGCUCAAAUUUGAAAUCUUAAAGGGUUUCCCUUUACGAAUUGUAGUUUAAAGAAGUGUUUUCUGUUGAGGUUUUGGUAAAAGUUCUUUGGAAUAGGACAUCAUAGAGGGUGAGAAUCCCGUAUUUGACCUUUACUUUCAACUUUGUGAUACACUUUCAAAGAGUCGGAUUGUUUGGGAAUGCAGUCCAAAAUGGGUGGUAAAUUUCAUCUAAAGCUAAAUAUUGGCGAGAGACCGAUAGCGAACAAGUACCGUGAGGGAAAGAUGAAAAGAACUUUGAAAAGAGAGUUAAACAGUACGUGAAAUUGUCAAAAGGGAAGCGUUUGACACCAGUGUUGUUUUUCUGAAAAUCAAUUAAAGAACUGUUUAUGCUAAGCUGUUUAGACUUUAUCAGCUAUCUGUUUAGUUUUAGGCUUUUCUUUAAUGCACUUUUCAGUUAACAAGUCAACAUCAAUUUCUUUUGCUGUAAAAAAGCCUGAGGAAGGUGGCUUGAGAUUCGUCUUAAGUGUUUAUAGCCUCUUGCUUAUGCAGUCGGAGAGAUUGAGGUCUGCAGCGUAGAUCCUUCGGGGCUAAAUGCAUUUGUGCUAAGUUAUAGCAUUUUAUAGACAACUUGUUGACUAUGAUUUGUCUUGUAGCUUACUCGCUUAUGUUAUUUUACCUACGCUUAGGAUGUUGAGCGCAUGUCUCUCUCU
rnacentral:rRNA from 1 species